CGAACAAUCUGCAUUGCACAAUUCAGUUUUAAUUCCGAAUCUUUCAAGUUCAGAGCUUUUGGUGGAAACAUGACGAACGCGUAUUUGCUGGUUUUAAUGCUGAUUGUUGCGAUGUUGAGUUACGUUGUGAUGGAUUAUCCAGAUGAAUCCACUGUAAAUUUCCCCGAUCAGUUGUACGAUUACGAAGAGCCAAUUCCGAUGGAGUUGCUAGAUGAGGCAUUCAUUUUCAACCCAUUAUUGACUGACCAGUAAGAUGCCGAUAUCAACCCAUCCGAGGAAUCAAAUAUGGAUAUCAUACUGAUCUCCUGAAUCAGGAAUCCUGAUAUAACAUUAGGAUGAAACAAAAUCGUUUGGAAAAGAUGGAAUUGAAAAUCUGUGUCCAUAAAUAGUAAUAAAAUGGUUGCAUCAAAAACA